rnacentral:rRNA from 1 species
CCUACGGGCGACAGCAGUGGGGGAUAUUGGACAAUGGGGGGAACCCUGAUCCAGCGACGCCGCGUGAGUGAAGAAGUAUUUCGGUAUGUAAAGCUCUGUCAGCAGGGAAGAAAGAAAUGACGGUACCUGACCAAGAAGCCCCGGCUAACUACGUGCCAGCAGCCGCGGUAAUACGUAGGGGGCAAGCGUUAUCCGGAAUUACUGGGUGUAAAGGGAGCGUAGACGGUUAAGUAAGUCUGGAGUGAAAGGCCGGGGCCCAACCCCGGGACUGCUCUGGAAACUAUUGAACUUGAGUGCAGGGGAGGUAAGCGGAAUUCCUAGUGUAGCGGUGAAAUGCGUAGAUAUUAGGAGGAACACCAGUGGCGAAGGCGGGUUACUGGACUGUAACUGACGUUGAGGCUCGAAAGCGUGGGGAGCAAACCGGAUUAGAUACCCCUGUAGUC